rnacentral:rRNA from 1 species
CUGAAUGGGGAAACCCGGCUGAGCAAACCUCAGUCACCGUACAGUGAAUACAUAGCUGUACGGAGGGAACCCGGUGAACUGAAACAUCUAAGUAGCCGGAGGAGAAGAAAGAAAACUCGAUUUCCAAAGUAGCGGCGAGCGAAAUGGGAAGAGCCCAAACCAGUGUGCGUGCACCCUGGGGUUCGGACUGCAUUUAUGACUUCCAAUGAUAGCAGAAUGGUUCUGGAAAGACCAACAAAAGAGGGUGAAAGUCCCGUAAGCGAAAUGAGCGGAAGCAGAGCAGGAUCCAGAGUACCACGAGACACGAGAAACCUUGUGGGAAUAAGCGGGGACCACCCCGUAAGGCUAAAUACUCCUUAGUGACCGAUAGAGCAGAGUACUGUGAAGGAAAGGUGAAAAGGACCCCGGGAGGGGAGUGAAAAAGAACCUGAAACCCUGUGUUUACAAACUGUGGAAGUACCAUACGAGUACAACCGCGUACUUUUUGUAGAACGGUCCGGCGAGUUACGGACACUGGCAAGGUUAAGUGCUUCAGGCACGGAGCCGAAGGGAAACCAAGUGUUAACUGCGCGUCAAGUCAGUGUACGUAGACCCGAAACCGGGUGAUCUACCCAUGUCCAGGUUGAAGUUGCCGUAAAAGGCAAUGGAGGACCGAACGCACAUCCGUUGAAAAGGGUGGCGAUGAGGUGUGGGUAGGGGAGAAAUUCCAAUCGAACCCGGAGAUAGCUGGUUCUCCUCGAAAUAGCUUUAGGGCUAGCCUCGUAUUAACCUCAUGGAGGUAGAGCACUGAAUUUCCUAGGGGGCGUCAAAGCUUACCAAAGAAUAUCAAACUCCGAAUGCCAUAGAGGUGAUGUACGGGAGUCAGACUGCACGAGAUAAGUUGGGUGGUCAAAAGGGAAAGAGCCCAGACCUACAGCUAAGGUCCCAAAGUGCGUGUUAAGUGGAAAAGGAUGUGGGAUUUCGAAGACAACUAGGAUGUUGGCUCAGAAGCAGCCACACAUUCAAAGAGUGCGUAAUAGCUCACUAGUCGAGAGGUCCUGCGCCGAAAAUGUCCGGGGCUAAAACACGACACCGAAGCUUAGGACUCAUACUUAAGGUAUGAGUGGUAGAGGAGCAUUGUUAACACGAAGAAGCUGUACCGGUAAGGAGCAGUGGAGAGUUAAGAAGAGAGAAUGCCGGAAUGAGUAGCGAGAGGAAGGUGAGAAUCCUUCCGGCCGAAUAUCCAAGGUUUCCAGAGUAAAGCUGAUCUGCUCUGGGUAAGUCGGGGCCUAAGGCGAGGUAGAGAUACGUAGCCGAUGGACAACAGGUGGAGAUUCCUGUACUAUGUGUGUUCAGAACUGUGGGGACGCAUGUGGAAAGUGUAAGCCGGGCAUGAAUGACCCGGUACAAGCGAGGUAGCAGUACAGUUGGCAAAUCCGCUGUACAAUGUGAAGACGUGACGUGGACCGAAAUGAAGUAGGGAAGUACAUGAGCCAUGUGCCGAGAAAAGCCGCUAUUGCAGCACACAUACCCGUACCGUAAACCGACACAGGUGGAUGAGGAGAGAAUCCUAAGGCCGACGGGAGAAGCAUUGUUAAGGAACUCGGCAAAAUGACCCCGUAACUUCGGGAGAAGGGGUGCCCAUGGAAACAUGGGCCGCAGAGAAUAGGCUCAAGCAACUGUUUAGCAAAAACACAGCUCUAUGCAAAACCGCAAGGUGAGGUAUAUGGGGUGACGCCUGCCCGGUGCUGGAAGGUUAAGAGGAGAAGUCAGGAAACGAAGCUUCGAAUUUAAGCCCCAGUAAACGGCGGCCGUAACUAUAACGGUCCUAAGGUAGCGAAAUUCCUUGUCGGGUAAGUUCCGACCCGCACGAAAGGCGUAAUGAUUUGAGCACUGUCUCGACAAUGCACCCGGUGAAAUUGAAGUACCAGUGAAGAUGCUGGUUACCUGCGCCAGGACGGAAAGACCCCAUGGAGCUUUACUCCAGCUUGAUACUGGGAUUCGAUACUGUAUGUACAGGAUAGGUGGGAGACUGAGAAGUAGCAACGCCAGUUGUUACGGAGUCGCUGUUGGGAUACCACCCUUGCAGUAUUGGAUUUCUAACCUG